UAGGGAAUCUUCCACAAUGGACGAAAGUCUGAUGGAGCAACGCCGCGUGAGUGAAGAAGGGUUUCGGCUCGUAAACUCUGUUGUUAAAGAAGAACAUAUCUGAGAGUAACUGUUCAGGUAUUGACGGUAUUUAACCAGAAAGCCACGGCUAACUACGUGCCAA
rnacentral:rRNA from 1 species